rnacentral:rRNA from 1 species
AACGAACGCUGGCGGCGUGCCUAACACAUGCAAGUCGAACGGAGAUAAGGGGCUUGCUCCUUAUUUUAGUGGCGCACGGGUGAGUAACGCGUAGAUAAUCUGCCUGAUGAUCUGGGAUAACAGUUCGAAAGGACUGCUAAUACCGGAUAAGCCCACGGGUUCUUUGGAAUCUGCGGGAAAAGGGGGGGACCUUCGGGCCUUCUGUCAUCAGAUGAGUCUGCGUACCAUUAGCUAGUUGGUAGGGUAAUGGCCUACCAAGGCUACGAUGGUUAGCUGGUCUGAGAGGAUGAUCAGCCAAACGGGAACUGAGACACGGUCCAGACUCCUACGGGAGGCAGCAGUGGGGAAUUUUGCGCAAUGGGCGAAGGCCUGACGCAGCGACGCCGCGUGAGUGAUGAAGGCUUUCGGGUCGUAAAGCUCUGUCAGAGGGAAAGAAGUGUAUUGUGGCUAAUAUCCGCGAUACUUGACGGUACCCUCAAAGGAAGCACCGGCUAACUCCGUGCCAGCAGCCGCGGUAACAC